UACAGAGGGGGCAAGCGUUACUCGGAAUUACUGGGCGUAAAGCGUGCGUAGGUGGUUCGUUAAGUCUGUCGUGAAAGCCCCGGGCUCAACCUGGGAAUGGCGAUGGAUACUGGCGGGCUAGAGUGCGGUAGAGGAGGGUGGAAUUCCCGGUGUAGCAGUGAAAUGCGUAGAGAUCGGGAGGAACAUCAGUUGCGAAGGCGGCUCUCUGGACCAGCACUGACACUGAGGCACGAAAGCGUGGGGAGCAAACAGG
rnacentral:rRNA from 1 species